rnacentral:rRNA from 1 species
UACGUAGGGUGCGAGCGUUGUCCGGAAUUAUUGGGCGUAAAGGGCUCGUAGGCGGUCUGUCGCGUCGGGAGUGAAAACUCAGGGCUUAACCCUGAGCCUGCUUCCGAUACGGGCAGACUAGAGGUAUGCAGGGGAGAACGGAAUUCCUGGUGUAGCGGUGGAAUGCGCAGAUAUCAGGAGGAACACCUGAGGUGAAGACGGGUUGCUGGGCUGACACUGACGCUGAGGCGCGAAAGCCAGGGGAGCAAACGGG